rnacentral:rRNA from 1 species
GCCGGUGGCUAAAGCGGCGGGGCUCCACCUGUUCCCAUUCCGAACACAGAAGUUAAGCCCGCCAGCGCCCAUGGUACUGCCCGGGUGACCGGGUGGGAGAGUAGGUCGUCGCCGGCU